UAUCGUUACUUUCUUUUCUCAAUGUUAUCGUUUUUCUUCUCUCCCCUAACGAUAAACCCUAGAUUUUGAAUCCUUGAAAACCCCUUCUGAAUCUCACGAAAUCGCUUAUGAAUCCAAGAAAUCGCUUCUUUCUUCUCUCAUAAAAUCGCUUCUGCAUCCACAAAAUCGCUUCUUUCCUCUCUCACGAAAAUCCCUUCAGCGAAUUCGAAGAACACGGCACCGAAUUUCUUCUUCUGCAAAACGAAAUUCGUUUCUUCUGGGUUUAUAUCUUCUUCUUCGGCAUUAGAGGGACCAAAGCAAAGGUUACCGGAAAGAUCGUCGUCGCUGGAAUUUCUCCCCAGAAAUCGCCUGCUCUGACGUAGUUAGUCGAAGGUCAUCUCCGAUUUGAAGAACAUCAACGUAGCAUCAUCUGCCGUCGGCACCAAUAAACCCUCUUCUUUCUUUGGACAUUGAAGGGUAAAAAGGUUACAGUUGCUGGCAAGAAGAAAAAGUAGAUAUUUAGCAUCCUUUUGACUUGUGUAAAAAAUAACAAUGUUUUGGAUGAUGCAAUUGUUUUCAUUGAAUUGGAUGUAAUUUUGUUGUUGUUUAUUAGUA